rnacentral:rRNA from 1 species
AUGUCGACACACAAGUUGAUCGUGGAGGUGGCAAGUGCUCAAGAUUUGUUUCCUAAGUAUGGGAAAGGUUCUGUGAGUGCCUAUGUCAAGCUUAAAUUUGGUGGUCAGCGUUUUUGCACGACCGUCAAGCUGAAGGAUCUAAACCCAGUGUGGAACGAACGCUUCUGCUUUCACUUGUCUGAUCCGUCGCAUCUUCCCGAGCUUUCUCUUGAAGCAUGUGUCUACUUUUUUUCGAAAAGAAGGAAAACCCUCAGUGAAGCAUGUGUCUGCUAUGUCAACAAACCUGUUGAAGGCUCCAGGUCCUUGCUUGGCAAGGUUAGAAUUGCUGGGACCUCAUUCGUGCCCUUCUCAGAUGCUGUUGUUAUGCCUUAUCCACUGAAUAAGCACCAGAUGUUCUCGCGUGUCAAAGGGACAUUGGCUCUGAAAGUAUAUACCACUGAUGACCCACACAUUGCAGCUUCAAACACGCUUGGGAUGAUCAAUAGUUCUAAUAAUAUGGAAAGCAUAUUACAGGAUCAGAGUUCAAGACCACAUAGUAUACCACUGCAACAUUUGAAAGAAAUCACAAAUAACUUCUCUGAAGAUCGAAUACUUGGACAUGGUGGUAUUGGUGUGGUAUAUAAGGGGGUGCUGCAUAAUGGGGAAAUGAUUGCUGUGAAGAAGAUUGUAUCGUCAUUAAUGCCAGGCCCACAGAAGCAAUUUGAGAAUGAAGUUUAUCAUCUUAUGAUCGUUAGGAACCCCAAUAUAGUGUGA